rnacentral:rRNA from 1 species
UACGUAGGUGGCAAGCGUUGUCCGGAUUAUUGGGUUUAAAGGGUGCGUAGGCGGUGACUUAAGUCAGUUGUGAAAUACGGCAGCUUAACUGUCGAGGUGCAAUUGAUACUGGGACACUUGAGUACUGAUGAGGUAAGCGGAAUGGACGGUGUAGCGGUGAAAUGCUUAGAUAUCGUCCAGAACACCGAUAGCGAAGGCAGCUUACUAAGGAGUAACUGACGCUGAGGCACGAAAAGUGUGGGGAUCAAACAG